GUUUGUUUGGUUGCGCAAAUUACAAGAUUGGAGGAAAUUAAAGCAAAAAGCCAAAGUGCAGGUCCUCCCAACCCCAAUUUCUCAGUUACAAAUGUAACUAAAAUUGCGUUCUAAAAGCGGGCUUUCGAGCGAAACGUUCACCUGAAAAUUAUUGAAGGGACUACUAAAACCGAAACGUUGUGAUAAAGACAUCUUUGUAAGACAAUUGAAAUGGGAAGAAGAAUUCCAAAUUUCAAUUGCGUAAUGUUAAUGAGGCAGAUUACCUUGAAAAACAUUGUUGCCGACCUCAUUAUCCAGUAUAAGUGUAUGUAAACUAUCUUAAACGUUUCAAAACUGGCAAAUAUAAAGCGCUAACGUGUAAAAGUCACCUUGCUGAUUCGUUGUCGGGGAAAAGCACUAGUAAAAAUACGAAUUUCGAUUCGGAAAAACUCCAGGCCCCGACUCCUGCUUCAAAAGCGCCAGUCGACAGAAACGGGAAGAACUAAUCUAGAUUCAAUGUGGGUCGUUUACUUAUGAGAAUUUUGUGAAGAUUAACAGUGUGUAGAAAAUUGCCAGAAAAACGCCCCCAAGAAAAAUAAUUUGUGGACCUGAAUCUACGUGAGCAAUUUGACUUUUGCGAUGAUUAACGUGGUUUGUUAGAAACUCCCAAAUCUACAGGGACCUGGAGUGGGAGCCACUAAGAGAGUUUCUCACCAGGAAAGCGGCUGAAGACUUCGUUAAAGCUGGAAGGCACUCCAACGAAGAGCUACGAAAUCUUGUAAAUUACACACCUGAAGAUCUGGGA